AACGCGAAGAACCUUACCUGGGCUCGAAAUGCUACGGACCGCCGAUGGAAACAUUGGCUUUCCCGCAAGGGACUGUAGUAUAGGUGCUGCAUGGCUGUCGUCAGCUCGUGUCGUGAGAUGUUGGGUUAAGUCCCGCAACGAGCGCAACCCUUGCCCUGUGUUGCCACUCCGAAAGGAAGCACUCUCAGGGGACCGCCAGCGAUAAGUUGGAGGAAGGUGGGGAUGACGUCAAGUCAUCAUGGCCUUUAUGUCCAGGGCUACACACGUGCUACAAUGGACGGUACAAAGCGCUGCGAACUCGCGAGAGGAAGCUAAUCGCAAAAAACCGUUCUCAGUUCGGAUUGCAGGCUGCAACUCGCCUGCAUGAAGCUGGAAUCGCUAGUAAUGGCAUAUCAGAACGAUGCCGUGAAUACGUUCCCGGGCCUUGUACACACCGCUCGCGA
rnacentral:rRNA from 1 species